GUUAGGAUUUUAAACAAGAAGAUCGAUUUUAGCGAUAUUCAGUCCCGGUGUGGUUCCAGAGAUAACAUCAAACAUUCUGCAGGGGGAGGAAAUGUACAAAUUGUAACCAAGAAGAUCGACUUGAGUCAUGUGACUUCAAAGUGUGGCUCACUCAAGAAUAUCCAUCACAAGCCAGGAGGUGGGCGUGUGAAAAUUGAGAGUGUGAAACUGGAUUUCAAAGAAAAAGCUCAGGCUAAAGUUGGUUCACUGGAGAAUGCCCACCAUGUACCUGGUGGUGGUAAUGUCAAGAUUGACAGCCAGAAGCUAAACUUCAGAGAGCACGCUAAGGCCCGUGUGGAUCACGGCGCUGAGAUCAUCACACAGUCACCAGGCAGGUCCAGCGUGGCCUCACCACGCAGACUCAGCAACGUCUCGUCCUCUGGAAGCAUCAACCUGCUUGAAUCACCCCAGCUUGCUACCCUUGCUGAAGAUGUCACGGCAGCCCUUGCCAAGCAGGGCUUAUGAAUCUGCUCAUUUAGCAUUGUAUGAAGUAAUAAUAUUUAGGCAUGAGCUCUUUGCAGGAAUGGGCUCAGAGCAGGUGUUACAUUCAUUCUUUACCAUGUCUAAAACUAAGUCACAUCCCAAGACUUGUAGUAACCAUACAGUU